rnacentral:tRNA from 1 species
GAGGGUAUGGCUCAGUGGUAGAAUGUGUGCUUAGCAUGCACGAGCUCCUGGGUUCAAUCCCCAGUACCUCCA